AGCAGCCGCGGUAAUUCCAGCUCCAAUAGCGUAUAUUAAAGUUGUUGCAGUUAAAAAGCUCGUAGUUGAAUUUCGGGGUUAGUAGAUUGGUCAUGCCUCUGGUAUGUACUGGUCUCACUGAUUCCUCCUUCCUGAUGAACCUUAAUGCCAUUAAUUUGGUGUUUUGGGGAAUUUGGACUGUUACUUUGAAAAAAUUAGAGUGUUUAAAGCAAGCUAAUGCUUGAAUACAUUAGCAUGGAAUAAUGAUAUAGGACGUUCGAUCCUAUUUUGUUGGUUUCUAGGAUUGACGUAAUGAUUAAUAGGGAUAGUUGGGGGCAUUAGUAUUCAAUUGUCAGAGGUGAAAUUCUUGGAUUUAUUGAAGACUAACUACUGCGAAAGCAUUUGCCAAGGAUGUUUUCAUUAAUCAAGAACGAAAGUUAGGGGAUCGAAGACGAUCAGAUACCGUCGUAGUCUUAACCAUAAACUAUGCCGACUAGGGAUCGGAUGAUGUUAAUUUUUUAAUGACUCA
rnacentral:rRNA from 1 species